AACGAACGCUGGCGGCAGGCCUAACACAUGCAAGUCGAACGAGAUCUUCGGAUCUAGUGGCAGACGGGUGAGGAACACGUGGGAACAUCCCUUUCAGUUCGGAAUAACGUUGGGAAACUAACGCUAAUACCGGAUACGUCCUUCGGGAGAAAGAUUUAUCGCUUCGAGAUGGGCCCGCGGCGCAUUAGCUAGUUGGUGAGGUAACGGCUCACCAAGGCGACGAUGCGUAGCCGACCUGAGAGGGUGAUCGGCCACAUUGGGACUGAGACACGGCCCAGACUCCUACGGGAGGCAGCAGUGGGGAAUAUUGCACAAUGGGGGAAACCCUGAUGCAGCAACGCCGCGUGAGUGAUGAAGGCCUUCGGGUUGUAAAGCUCUGUCUUCAGGGACGAUAAUGACGGUACCUGAGGAGGAAGCCACGGCUAACUACGUGCCAGCAGCCGCCGCGGUAA
rnacentral:rRNA from 1 species